GGGUCAGUAGGUUGGUCGUGCCACCGGUACGUACUGGUCUCACUGAUUCCUCCUUCCUGAAGAACCGUAAUGCCAUUUAUUUGGUGUUGCGGGGAAACAGGACUGUUACUUUGAAAAAAUUAGAGUGUUUAAAGCAAGCUAACGCUUGAAUACAUUAGCAUGGAAUUAUGAAAUAGGACGAUCGAUCCUAUUUUGUUGGUUUCUAGGAUUGACGUA
rnacentral:rRNA from 1 species